rnacentral:rRNA from 1 species
GACGUAGGGCGCAAGCGUUGUCCGGAUUUAUUGGGCGUAAAGAGCUCGUAGGCGGCUUGUUGCGUCGACUGUGAAAAACCACUCUCAACCGUGGGACUGCAGUCGAUACGGGGCAGGCUAGAGUUCGGUAGGGGAGACUGGAAUUCCUGGUGUAGCGGUGAAAUGCGCAGAUAUCAGGAGGAACACCGGUGGCGAAGGCGGUUCUCUGGGCCUGAUCUGACGCUGGAGGAGCGAAAGCGUGGGGAGCGAACAGG